AACAUAUGAGUGCCUCGCAAGAGGAGCCCGAUGGCAGGUGCUGCAUGGCUGUCGUCAGCUCGUGUCGUGAGAUGUUGGGUUAAGUCCCGCAACGAGCGCAACCCUCGCUGUGUGUUACAAGUGUCACACGGAACUGCCGGUCAUAAACCGGAGGAAGGUGGGGAUGACGUCAAGUCAGCAUGGCCUUUAUAUCCUGGGCUACACACACGCUACAAUGGGAAGGGACAAUAGGUUGCGAAGCCGCGAGGCGGAGCCAAUCCAGCAAAACUUCCCUCAGUUCAGAUUGCAGGCUGCAACUCGCCUGCAUGAAGUUGGAGUUGCUAGUAAACGCAGGUCAGCCAUACUGCGUUGAAUACGUUCCCGGGGCUU
rnacentral:rRNA from 1 species